UGCAGAUGAUGUGAGAACGUUUGCUCUGCGACCUGAUGACGCUGAACCACCAAGAUCGCUGAUGCA